AUCAUCUAGAAUCUUGUUAAAAUGAAGAUUCUGAUUCAGUCCAUCUGGGGUUAGGCCUGAGACUCUGCAUUUCUAAUAAGCUCCCAAGUGAUGCUAU
rnacentral:pre_miRNA from 1 species